UAAGACAGAGGGGGCAAGCGUUGCUCGGAAUUACUGGGCGUAAAGGGCGCGUAGGCGGGACGGAAAGUCGGUCGUGAAAUCCUCCGGCUCAACCGGAGAACGGCGAUCGAUACUUCCGUUCUUGAGGGUUGCAGAGGAGACUGGAAUUCCCGGUGUAGCGGUGAAAUGUGUAGAGAUCGGGAGGAACACCGGUGGCGAAGGCGGGUCUCUGGGCAACUCCUGACGCUGAGGCGCGAAAGCGUGGGGAGCAAACGGGAUUAGAUACCCCGGUAGUCCACGCUGUAAACGAUGAGCACUAGGUGUGGGAGGGUUCAGUCCCUUCCGUGCCGCAGCUAACGCAUUAAGUGCUCCGCCUGGGGAGUACGGCCGCAAGGUUG
rnacentral:rRNA from 1 species